AGUGAACGCUGGCGGUAGGCCUAACACAUGCAAGUCGAACGGCAGCACAGGAGAGCUUGCUCUCUGGGUGGCGAGUGGCGGACGGGUGAGGAAUACAUCGGAAUCUACUUUUUCGUGGGGGAUAACGUAGGGAAACUUACGCUAAUACCGCAUACGACCUACGGGUGAAAGCAGGGGAUCUUCGGACCUUGCGCGAUUGAAUGAGCCGAUGUCGGAUUAGCUAGUUGGCGGGGUAAAGGCCCACCAAGGCGACGAUCCGUAGCUGGUCUGAGAAGAUGAUCAGCCACACUGGAACUGAGACACGGUCCAGACUCCUACGGGAGGCAGCAGUGGGGAAUAUUGGACAAUGGGCGCAAGCCUGAUCCAGCCAUACCGUGUGGGUGAAGAAGGCCUUCGGGUUGUAAAGCCCUUUUGUUGGGAAAGAAAUCCAGCUGGUUAAUACCCGGUUGGGAUGACGGUACCCAAAGAAUAAGCACCGGCUAACUUCGUGCCAGCCGCCGCAGUAA
rnacentral:rRNA from 1 species